rnacentral:rRNA from 1 species
AGAACGAACGCUGGCGGCGUGGAUAAGACAUGCAAGUCGAGCGGGAUUACUUUGUAGCAAUACAGAAGUAAUUUAGUGGCGAACGGGUGCGUAACACGUGGGCAAUCUGCCGAAAAGUGGGGGAUAGCUCGCCGAAAGGCGAAUUAAUACCGCAUGUGGUGAGGGACGACAUCUUCCUGAAUCCAAAGCCGGGGCAACCUGGCGCUUUUUGAGGAGCCCGCGGCCUAUCAGCUAGUUGGUGAGGUAACGGCUCACCAAGGCUGUGACGGGUAGCUGGUCUGAGAGGACGACCAGUCACACUGGAACUGAGACACGGUCCAGACACCUACGGGUGGCAGCAGUCGAGUAAUUUUUUCUCAAUUGGGGGGAAACCCUGGAAGGAGCGACGCCGCGUGGAGGAUGGAAGGUCUUUACGGGUUGUAAACUCCGUGUCGAUUUGAGAACAAGGUGCGAAGUUAUUAACUGUAGCUACGCUAUUGAUAGUAUCAAGAAGAGGAAGGACG